rnacentral:lncRNA from 1 species
AAAUCUUUAUUUGGUUUUCCAUAGUUAUGUAUAUUUAUAUUUUAAUACAAUAUAAGUAUAAAGAUAGAUAGAAAUACUUAGCGAGAUAAAUGGGGUUACUCUCCCCCAAGCUGAAUUGUGAUGUAAUUUCUUCUGAUGUAGCUAGCCGGUGGCAGAGGUGUAUUUGAAAGUCGGCAGUAUCCUGAUAGCGAUUAGAAUGUCCUCCGUUGGCUAGUCUUCUUGAUUCUUAAAUCCUGUGGAGCUCAAAUAGACAACAAAGCUUUGUGGAACUGAUUAGGUUUUAGCAUAAAUAUCUAGCCUUUGUCAUGUUGAGCCUCCUAGAUAAAUGUUACUCUCUAUUUUUAUAUUUUUGUUUUAUAAAGCAGAAAAGAAAUAUUUAUUUUAUUUUUAUGCCACCACAGUGAAUGUACUUAUUGGUUUUAUGCCACUCGUAUACUCACAUGGGGCUUACUAUUUUUUAACAUUUUUAUUUUCUUUUUAGGAUAGUAUGAACAUAAUUAACUAAGUAAAUUAUUUUAAAUAUUUAAAAGGGAAAGGAUAACUACCAAGUUUACCUCUUGGCAAGACGCUCGGUGUUUUUAAGUCCUCCGAACGGGACUCUCUGUUUUCUCAGUUGUCCUAGGAUUCGUUGGGUGGUGUAAUCGGUGCUUCCGGCGGCGCCUCCUCAUCGUGUAUAGUUAUCUUCUCUUUCUACACCUGACUCGGUGCUACGGUCUCCUCAGGAUAAUCUUGUUGAAGCUGUAUGUCUUCAGACCUUACUACUUCUCCUUCAUAGUCUGCCCAUCUGUCCGUGAUGAUUUGCCUCUUCUGGUUGCUAUUGCGUCGUCUUCUUCUUGUCCUGACCUGCUUAGAGUCUUCAACGAUAUGGUUAGGGUCAGUAAAAUAGCGGCGUACCUUCUCUGAGGGGAAGUGCAUAUGGUCUUGUCCAGUUCCAAUGUAGAUGAUUGCUUUAACGGUGCUGAGGAACGGUCUUCCAAGGAUGACGGGUGGAUCAUAUUCGUCUUCUCCCAUGUCAAUAACCUGAAAGUCUGUGUAGAUAAAAUGAUUGUCUAUUUUGAUAGGGACAUCAGUUACUAUACCUUUAACCUCUAGAAAUGUCUAAUCUGCCAUCUGGAGCUGAAUGUAUGUUGGUUUUAGAGGCAUGGUUCCAAACAAGAGCCGAUAGGUGACUACGGCCAUUAUGUUGACGCCUGAUCUAGUGUCGCAAAACGUCUUGUAGAAGUUGUACCCAUUUAUGGAGCAAUAGAUGCUUGGCAUUCCUGGGUCGUCCUUCUUGGUCAGAAACGGUGACAUAAGUCGAUGAUCUUGUCCUUCAUGAGCUGCAGUGACCAUUUUAGCUAACUCGAUCCACACUUGCUUGUUCGUGUUCCUCCUGUUGGUCCUCUUCCUUGGUUCAUGUCAAGAUUGCUCUAGGAUUUGUGUAGUCUUGUCCUUCAAGGAAAACGUCUCCUUCCUCCCUUUGAUGUAGAAACUGAUCUUGGCAGCACUAGCGUAGAUGACAGCUCCCGAGGUGUUCA